GUAAAUUCACAAACUAAAUAAGUCUUAAAAAGCAAAUUCACUAAAAAAUAGCAAAUACAAACCACCUAAAAUAAACUAACAAAUCUCUAACACAAUACAUAAUUAACAAUCAAAUGCUUAUAACCAGUAAAAUAAAGAAACAGUAUGGGUCAUCACAAGUCAAAACAGGUUAGAAAGUUGUCAGUCGACUGAGACUCGUGACAUGAAUAAUAAGUCACGUUAUAUAUUUGUUAAAUCAAGUUAGCAGAUUAACCUAGCUCAAUUCUAACCCCGACAAUUUUCAUUUUGUGUUGAU
rnacentral:misc_RNA from 1 species